UCCAGUCUUCAGUCCUCUCUGCAUGACAGUGACUUGUGUAUGUCAGUGGAGCCCCAGUUAGAGACAGACAUGAUUCCUGCAGUGGUACUGAUGACCCUGUUGUGGAGCACAGAUCUCCAGGCUCAAAGCGUCAGUCCACCAGAUCUCCAGGCUCAAAGCGUCAGUCCACCAGCUGAACUCUCAGUCAGACUGGUGGAUGGGACCACUUCCUGUUCUGGGACAGUGGAAGUCUUCUAUGAAGGAGAGUGGUUGGGUCUAUGUUCUGGGUGCUGGAGCAUGAUGAGAGAGGUUAAAAUUUUGUGUAGAGAGCUGAACUGUGGAGAUGUUGUAGCUGAAUCUAGAGGACCUCAGUUUGAAACGGGAAGAGGAAUAGUCACAAUAUAUAGUAUGUGUAGUGGAGAUGAGUCUUCUGUUGGACAGUGUGUCAUCACAGGAGCACCUGGUGUCUGUGAUGGUGGAUAUUAUCAUCAUGUGACCUGUUCAGGUAAGAGACUGGUCAUAUUGAGAGAUUUAUUUAUACAUUAUACAAUAUUACCAUGUAUCAUGUUUUAUGUGUUUUUAUUUCAUUUAAAUAGAGGGAGAGAUGUCAGAUGUAUUUAAACAUUAUAUUUGUGUUUGUCAUAUUGGUUUAUGGGAGAUGUUCAUGGGCAGAUCAUUGUAGUUCAGAUGGUACUGAUGUGAAGCUGCCUGAUGGAUGUCCAGCUGUUUAUUUUCUAUAAAGUGAAGUGAACUUAUUCCUGUCUCCUGCCUGCAUUAUUCCCAACCCGAUCCUGAGUGACUAAGAACCCAUUUCUACCUCUUACAGUAUCAAACAUAGCAAACUACAAUCUUUUAUCCAACAUAUUUGUGUUUAGUCCUUGACAGUGUCAUCAACAAAACUGAUUGAAUGUUCAACCAACUCUUUUUCUCCAGAGUCUGUGCGGCUUGUGGAUGGAGCUGGUCUCUGCUCUGGGAGAGUGGAGGUGAAGUCCAAUCAGUCUUGGGCCUCAGUGUGUGAAGCUGACUUUGACCGGCAGGAUGCAGAGGUAGUCUGUAGGGAUGUUGGCUGUGGGGUUCCUACAGCUCUACAGGGGGGGCUCUAUGGAGAAGGUGAGGGUCAGACCUGGGAUAAAGAGUUCCAGUGUAAAGGCAAAGAGUCCCUUCUCCUGGACUGUGACACCUCAGACAGAAAAAACAACACCUGCCUACCUGGUAAUGCUGUUGGACUCACCUGCUCAGGUAAGAAACAGUGUGUCACUCAAUCAACAUUGUUUCUCGCCUG